GACGAACGCUGGCGGCGUGCUUAGCACAUGCAAGUCGAACGGUAAGGCCCUUCGGGGUACACGAGUGGCGAACGGGUGAGUAACACGUGGGUGAUCUGCCCUGCACUUCGGGACAAGCCUGGGAAACUGGGUCUAAUACCGGAUAGGACCACUGCCUGCAUGGGUGGUGGGGGAAAGCUUUUGCGGUGUGGGAUGGGCCCGCGGCCUAUAAGCUUGUUGGUGGGGUGAUGGCCUACCAAGGCGACGACGGGUAGCCGGCCUGAGAGGGUGACCGGCCACACUGGGACUGAGAUACGGCCCAGACUCCUACGGGAGGCAGCAGUGGGGAAUAUUGCACAAUGGGCGCAAGCCUGAUGCAGCGACGCCGCGUGAGGGAUGACGGCCUUCGGGUUGUAAACCUCUUUCAGCACCGACGAAGCGCAAGUGACGGUAGGUGCAGAAGAAGGACCGGCCAACUACGUGCCAGCCGCCGCCGUAA
rnacentral:rRNA from 1 species